UGUCUCUCUUCUCCUCUCCUUCCUUUAUUUGCUGCCAUUUUUUUUAAAAAAAUAUUUCCCCCUAAUUUUUUUUGCAGGAAAGACCCUAAUCGAGCUCUACUCCUCCAAGUACAAGAACUCCGCUCCAUUGCAAGGUUGGAUGCAGAGAAUUAAGAAAGGGCAGAUUACAGUCGAUGGAGAUGUG